rnacentral:lncRNA from 1 species
CAAGACAGGGCGGAGGUCACCUUGUUUGUCACCUGCGUCCUUUAAAUCCAUCGUCGAUGAAGCUGUGGCAUGGCCUGAUGGUGAUUUCAGAUCCAUCGACGUUGAAGCAGCGACAGGGCCUGAUGGUGAUUGUCUUAAUAUAUACUGAAGGUCCCCUGUACCUUCCCUGUCAUUCAAAAAAACACUGCCCAGGCCUAAGUCUAUCCACCCUUCCUUACUCUGAAUUCCCCUGCUCUAAAUCUAUUUGUGGAUUCGUGAAUGUUUACACUGCAUACUGUUUAUUUCUACAGAAUUUGUGUGCUGAUGUGCUGUGUGGUGAUAUGCAACGGUGCACUUGAGCACACUGACAGAGACACCAUUGACGACAUCAACCUGAACUCUCAUGUUGUAUUCUGCCAGCAGCAUGACUGUUUUCCCCUGAUCUGUAAGUUCAUGGCCUUCCUUAAUUUUAUCUGUUGAAUAAUCCUCCUAUGACCCACCUAUUAGUCAAAUUAUUUCUCUGCCAAUAUGGACAAAUUUCUUUGCCAAGUCUGGUGCCUACCAUUUGUUUGAUAGAAGGCUUCUUAGGAAAUUUGCAUUUAGAGUUAUUUGUAUGGAGAGAGUAUGGAGGCUUACCAUGUGUAGAUACACAUUCAAUACUAAUACUCAUUGCAUUUCAGUUGAGCAGAGUAUGGAGGUCUUUUGGAGAUUUUUGAUAGAUCCUGCUUCAGGCUAUGUGCUUUUACACCUCAACCAAUGAGAGCUGCAAAAAGAAAUGUGUCUUGUAUUAUGAAAUCCUGAGAAAUAAUCAGUUGCGAGAACUCUCUUUCAGUUAUGUUUCAGUGAGAUAAUUAUUAGAGGGAAAAUAUUCUUUACAGUUCAAAAUUGUAAAAAUUGUCUGCUAAUCUUCAUCAUUGUUAUGGUUGUUUGUCACAGAUAGUAUGGAAACCAAUUUUACAGAUAAUUGCAUCAAUUAGAUCUAGAAGUUCGAUUUAGCUACAUAUAUCUUGGUUAUUAAAUAGGUGGGUCUGAGAAUCCACUAGACUUAAUUGAUAAUUGAAGUAGGUAGAUUUAAAGAGCAAACUGGAGUAGAAAUUUGAGUCUCAUCGCUUAUGGGCAUAUGUUACUUUCUUUUUCACUGAUUACAGUUCAUGUGUGCCGUCGUGAUUAUUAAAUUUGUAUUUAGAAUCUGUUAAUAUUGACCAAACGCUAAUUUCCAUGAUGAUUUUAGUUCAACUCUUAGCUAUUUCUGAAAUCUCGCCAUCCCCCUUGAAAGCCCUAGUUUGGUUUUGGAUAAUUGAUGAAACCGUAGUACUAACCUCUAUGCUAAGUGUGUGUAGACUUAAUAAGGUUGGUACAUGCCAAGUGAUGGAGCAAGAGAUGAUCAUGGUGAUGAUGGUGAUGACCUCAAGAUGAUCAAGUGCUCAACUUGGAAAAGAAGAAAGAGAAAAACAAAACCCUAUGGAGAUCAAGGCAAAGGUAUUGCCUAGGGUUUUGGUUUUGGUGAUCAAGACACCAUAGAGGGUGUGAUCACAUUUAGGAUAGAAAGCCGUACUAUUAAGAGGGGUAAUCUCGUUGUGAAAACGGUUGUCUAAGUGCCACUAGGUGAUUGGAUUCCUUGCAUGUGCAUUAGGACCUAGUGAGCUAACUAAGUAACCCUUGAAAAAUGUUUUGAAAUAUGCUAACACUCGUGCACAAUUGUGGAGACACUUUGGUGUUGGCACAUGGAAGCAAGGGUAGAAGUUGAGAAACUUUUCGUGCAGUGCUUUCAGGCCGGACGCGUCCGGUAUGAGGUCGGACGCGUCCGAGUUGAGGCACCGGACGUGGAAACAGUUUUCGCGUAGAGUUCGGUGUGCCUCGUCCGGUGAGUUCGUUUCUCGGUGAAACUCUCUCAGUUUGCAUCCGGUGCACACCGGACGCGUCCGGUGUGAACUAGGAUGCGUCCGAGUUGGCGUCCGGUGCAAACUCCUCUUGCAGAGCUCUCUGGGUGUGAGUCCGGUGCACACCGGACCGUCCCGUGUGUGCGUCCGGUGUGGCGACCGGUGUUGACUCAAGUUUGCGACGCUCUCUGAGUUUGGGUCGGCUACUUUUCUAACGGUCAGGAGCACGGGACGCUAGUCUGGCUCAUACCGGACGCGUCCGGUGUGAACACAGACAGUGGGUUUUCCUGCCAACGGCUAGUUGAAUCUUGGGACUUCUAUUUAUAUGCCUUGGCCGGUUCAUGCUCACUCUCUUGACUCUCUAACUUGUUGAUACACCUUGUGAGCAUACUCCCACACAUCCCACUCACCUUGUUCAAGAUUUGUUCAUCCAAAGUGAGAUUGGGAGAGAUCCUAGUUGCAUUUGCUUAGAGUUUGAGCAUCUAGUGGCACUAGUGAUCGUUGAGCAGCGGGUUUGCUUGUUACUCUUGGUGGUUGCCGCCACCUAGACGGCUUGGAGUUGCGGAGGAGCUUUGGCACGAGUUGGUGAUUGUUCGUGGCCAUCUUCCGGUGAUUGUGAGAGGUUUGUGCCUACCUCGGCGGAGAGCCAAAGGCAAUAUUAGUGGUUUGCUCGUGUCAUUGAGCUACCUCACUUGUGGGUAGGUUCUUGUGGUGUCCUAGUGAGGACGAGGUUCGUGCUACACCUCUUAGCCACCGAACCACCAAGUGUUGGUCGACACAACAGGGACGUAGCGUGCCUGCAAGCAUGUGAACCUCGGGAGAAAAAUUGCUUGUCUCCAUUGUGUUUGUUCAUUGAAUUUCUCCCGGUGAUUCAACUUCAUAUUAUUGAUUGGUUCAUCCCCUCUACGCGGUGGUAUAAAGUUCAAACCUUCUCUCUUACAUUCCCGCAAACUAGAGUAGCUUACUUACUUAUAUAGAAACUUUAGGUAGCUCUCUAGUGUAAGUAGUGACAUAGCUCUUGUGUGCCUAUUGAUCUUAACAACUAGAAUUGUUGGAUAGGUGGCUUGCAAACACCCCUUUAGAUCUAGAGCAAAAAGCUUCGCUUUGUUAUUUACUAACCUCUUGCUCUAGUGAGUUUGUAGAAUUUUUAAAUAGGAUAUUCAUCCCCACUCUAGCCAUAUUAGGACCUUUCAAGUGGUAUCAUAGCCGUGGUCACCGUUUGUGAAGGCUUAACAACCUCGGUGCUCAAAUUAUGGCUCAAAUAGUGUUCAACCAUGUUGGGGGCAAACCACCGUUCUUUGAUGGCACAAGCUCUUUUGACUAUUGGAAGAGAAAAAUGAAGAUGUGCCUUGGAUCAAUCAAUGAUAGAGUGUGGGAAGUCACCGAAAAUGACUUUGUGAUUCUUGAUCCGGCUAACCCCACCGACAAUGAGAGAGCAAACAAGCAAUGCAAUACUAUGGCUCUCAACACAAUAUACAAUGGCAUUGAUUCAAAGGUGUUUGAGCAAGUCAAAGAUCUUGAGAAGGCUAGUGAAGUGUGGACAAGGCUAGAAGAAACAUAUGAGGGCACUACAACGGUAAAAAGUGCCAAAUUGUAUAUGCUCAAGGACAAGCUAUCCAACUUCAAGAUGAAGGAUGAUGAGUCCAUACCAGAGAUGUUCUAUAGGCUCCAAGUCAUCAUCAAUGAUCUCAAGGGCCUAGGUGAGAAGGUGAAGGAUGAGGACUUUAUUCACAAGUUCUUGAUGUGCUUGCCCAAGAGGUUCAAGACAUUGAGAACAAUCAUCUUUAGAGGUGGAUUGAUGGGUGUAUCUCCCAAUGAGGUACUUGGAGAUGUCAUGACCGAAGAUCAAUACAAUGACAAUGAUGAUGAUGAGGUCAUGAAGAAGGAUGAUGAUGACAAGAAGAAGAAGAGUGUAGCAUUCAAAACUAGCUCUUCAUCCAAGAGCAAGAACAAGGGCAAGGCCAAGAAGGAAGAAUCAAGUGAUGAGGAGUGCUCCAAUGAUGAUAGUGAUGAUGAAGCACUAGCACUCUUUGUCCGCAAGUUUGGCAAGAUGAUGAAGAAGAAGGGCUAUCACACAAGAAAGAGAAGAGAUCACUUCAAGAACAAGGAGCAUGUGAGGCUAUGCUAUAAGUGCAAGAGCCCCGAUCAUAUUGUGGCGGAUUGUCCUUACAAUAGUGACAAUGAUGAGCAUGACAAGAAGAACAAGAAGGAGAAGAAAGAAAAGAAAGAGAAGAAGAUGGUCUUCAAGAAGAAGAAGAAGGGUGGAUCCUAUGUUGUGACAUGGGAUAGUGAUGCUUCUUCAGAUGAUGAUUCUAGUGAUGAUGACAAGUCAUCCAAGAAGAAGGCACUUGCAAGCAUUGCUAUCAACAACAAGCCAUCACUCUUCGACACUCCUUCGUGCUUCAUGGCCAAGGGCCACAAGGUACAAUAUGAUGAGAGUGAAAGUGAAAGUGAACAUGAACAUAAUAGUGAUAGUGAUGAUGAAAAUGAAUUCACUAAUGAACAACUCAUGGAUAUGUUAGAACAAGCCGAUUCACUUAUUCAAUCUAAAAACAAGAAGUGCAAAGAAUUGGCCAAGAAGUUAAAAGCUCUUGAACAAUCCUUUGAUGAGCUCAAUGCUAAUCAUGAGAGGCUAGUGGAAGCCCAUGAGAAGCUUGGCAAGGCUCACACCAAGCUUGAGAAAGCUCACUCAUUGUUGUUAGAAGAGAACAAGGAAAAGGUUGUUGUAUCAUGUGACGUGGGCACAACAUGUGACUUAAUUAAAAAAUCACCCAACUCAUCUAUUAUUGUUGCCACUAACUCUUCUUGUAGGUCUUCAUCCACCACCACCAACUCUACCUCUACCUCUAGUGUAAGUGUCACUUGUGAUACCUCACUAAAGGUUGAGAAUGAGACUCUCAAGAGAGAGGUGGAUGAGCUCACUCACGCCCUAGGCAAGGCCUAUAGUGGUGAGGUCCGCUUGCUAAAGUGCUUGGGUAGCCAAAGGUUUUCUCUCAACAAAGAGGGAUUAGGCUAUACCCCCAAGAAGGGCAAGAAAGCCUUUGCAACUCACAAGCAUAGCUUUGUGAAGAGCAAUGUUCGGUAUUGCAACAAAUGCAAGCAAGUUGGGCACCUAGAGCUUAAUUGUAACAAAAUAAACAAGAACAAGAAAAAUGCUAAUGCACCUUACAUUCCUUUUGAUUCUUGUUAUGUGCUUACUAAGGGUGAGAAGGGUGUGCAUGCUAAGUUUGUUGGUACACCAAUUGUGGGUCCAAAGAAGAAGGCCAUUUGGAUACCAAAGAGCUUAGUCACUAACCUCCAAGGACCCAAGCAAGUAUGGGUACCUAAGAAACAUUGAUUUGUUUUGUAGGUAAACUAUAAAGCCGGAGGAAGGCAUUGGGUGCUUGAUAGUGGGUGCACACAACACAUGACCAGUGAUUCAAGAAUGUUCAAUUCAAUCAAUCCAAAUGAUGAUCAUGGUGUUGAUAGUAUCACAUUUGGUGACAAUGGCAAAGGCAAGGUCAAAGGGCUUGGUAAAAUUGCUAUAUCCAAUGACUUGAGCAUUUCCAAUGUGCUACUAGUAGAGAGCUUGAACUUCAACUUGUUAUCCGUAGCUCAACUUUGUGAUCUUGGUUUCAAAUGCAUAUUUGGAGUUGAUGAUGUAGAGAUCAUAAGUGUAGAUGGCUCUAACUUGAUAUUCAAAGGCUUUAGAUAUGAGAAUCUAUACUUGGUUGAUUUCAAUGCUAGUGAAGCUCAAUUGUCAACAUGCUUGCUCACUAAAUCUAGCAUGGGUUGGUUAUGGCAUAGAAGGCUUGGUCAUGUUGGAAUGAAACAAUUAAACAAGUUAGUCAAGCAUGAUCUUGUUAGAGGAUUGAAAGAUGUCACAUUUGAGAAAGACAAGCUUUGUAGUGCAUGUCAAGCCGGAAAGCAAGUUGGCAACACUCAUCCAAAGAAAAGCAUCAUGAGUACAUGCAAGGCAUUUGAGUUGUUGCACAUGGACUUGUUUGGACCAACCACAUACACAAGCAUUGGUGGAAACAAAUAUGGAUUUGUGAUAGUGGAUGAUUUCACAAGAUACACAUGGGUAUUCUUUCUUAGUGACAAGAGUGAUGCUUUUGCAACCUUCAAAUCAUUUGUCAAGAGAAUACACAAUGAGUUUGAAACAACCAUCAAGAAAGUGAGAAGUGACAAUGGAAGCGAAUUAAAGAAUACAAGAGUUGAUGAGCUUUGUGAUGAAUUUGGCAUUAGGCAUCAAUUCUCGGCCAAGUACACUCCACAAUCAAAUGGUCUUGUUGAAAGGAAGAAUAGAACCUUGAUUGACAUGGCAAGAUCAAUGUUGAGUGAGUACAAUGUGAGUCAUUCUUUUUGGGCCGAAGCAAUCAACACGGCUUGCUACUAUAGCAACCGACUCUAUUGUCACCCAAUGAUGGAGAAGACACCAUAUGAGCUCUUGAAUGGAAGAAAUCCCAAUAUUGCAUACUUUCGGGAUUUUGGUUGCAAAUGCUACAUAUUGAAGAAAGGCACUAGAUUGUGUAAAUUUGAAAAGAAAUGUGAUGAAGGAUUCUUGCUUGGUUACUCUACUAGCAAAGCUUAUAGAGUUUGGAAUUUGGCUAGUGGUACUCUUGAGGAGGUGCAUGAUGUUGAGUUUGAUGAAACAAAUGGCUCUCAAGAGGAAGAUGAGAAUCUAGAUGAUGUGAGAGGCACUCAAUUGGCCGAUGCAAUGAAGAAUAUGGACAUUGGUGAUUUAAGGCCAAGAGAGGUGAUUGAUGUUGAAGAUGACAAAGAUCAAGUGCUUCCUACCUCUAAUAUGCAAGCUAGUGGUUCUCAUGAUCAAAAUCAAGCUAGUACAAGUGGUACACAAGUGCAAGAUCAACAAGCUAGUACAUCAUCUCAUGAUCAACCAAGUGCAAGAAAUCAAGUGCAAAUACUCCAACCAACAAAUAUGGAUCAUAUUAUCGGUGAUAUUUCAAGAGGUGUGCAAACUAGAUCAAGAUUGGCAUCAUUUUGUGAACAUUUCUCAUUUAUAUCAUCCAUUGAACCAAAGAAAAUAGAAGAAGCUUUGAUAGAUGUUGAUUGGGUUAAUGCUAUGCAUGAAGAGCUUAACAAUUUUAAGAGAAAUCAAGUAUGGGAAUUAGUUGAGAGGCCUAGUGAUCAUAAUGUCAUUGGUACUAGAUGGGUCUUUCGCAACAAGCAAGAUCAAGAUGGGAUAGUUGUAAGAAACAAAGCAAGAUUGGUAGCACAAGGCUAUACUCAAGUCGAAGGUCUUGACUUUGGUGAAACAUAUGCCCCGGUUGCAAGAUUGGAAGCAAUUAGGAUCUUGUUGGCCUAUGCUUGUGCACAUAAUAUCAAGUUAUAUCAAAUGGAUGUGAAAAGUGCAUUUCUCAAUGGUUAUAUCAAUGAAGAAGUAUAUGUUGAGCAACCUCCCGGUUUUGAAGAUGACAAGAAACCCAACCAUGUUUACAAGCUAAGAAAGGCAUUGUAUGGUUUGAAGCAAGCACCUAGAGCAUGGUAUGAGAGAUUGAGAGAUUUCUUACUCUCUAAAGGUUUCAAGAUGGGCAAGGUUGACACCACUCUCUUCACCAAGAAGAUUGGCAAGGACUUGUUUGUGUUGCAAAUCUAUGUUGAUGAUAUCAUAUUUGGAUCAACCAAUCAAGAAUUUUGUGAGGAGUUUGGCAACAUGAUGGCUAAUGAGUUUGAGAUGUCAAUGAUUGGAGAGCUUAGCUACUUCCUUGGUCUUCAAAUCAAGCAAUUGAAGAAUGGCACAUUUGUGAGUCAAGGCAAGUACAUAAAAGACAUGCUCAAGAAGUUUGGUAUGGAUCAUGCAAAAUCAAUUAGCACACCAAUGGGAACAAAUGGAAGCCUAGAUAGUGAUACAAGUGGAAAUAUGGUGGAUCAAAAGUUGUAUCGGUCCAUGAUUGGAAGCCUACUCUAUGUGACCGCAUCAAGACCGGAUGUCAUGUUUAGUGUAUGCAUGUGUGCAAGAUUCCAAGCCUCACCAAGAGAAAGCCAUUUGAAGGAAACAAAGAGAAUAUUGAGGGACUUGAAGCAUACACAAAAUGUUGGUUUGUGGUAUCCCAAAGGUGCAAAGUUUGAACUUGUUGGAUAUUCCGAUUCGGACUAUGCGGGAUGCAAAGUUGAAAGAAGGAGCACAUCGGGCACAUGUCAACUAUUGGGAAGAUCACUUGUCUCAUGGUCAUCCAAGAAGCAAAAUAGUGUUGCACUAUCAACCGCCGAAGCGGAGUACAUUGCGGCCGGUAGUUGUUGUGCACAAAUUCUAUGGAUGAAGGCAACAUUGAAAGAUUUUGGAAUCAACUUCAAGCAAGUGCCAUUGCUAUGUGACAAUGAAAGUGCCGUGAAGCUCACCAACAAUCCGGUUCAACACUCAAGAACAAAGCAUAUAGAUGUCCGCCAUCAUUUCAUAAGAGAUCACCAACAAAAAGAGGACAUUUGCAUUGAGAGUAUAGGCACCGAUGAUCAACUUGCCGAUAUAUUCACCAAGCCACUUGAUGAGAAGAGGUUUUGCAAGCUAAGGAAUGAAUUGAACAUACUUGACUUCUCAAAUAUGUGUUGAUGCACCCCCACUUUAUGACAUGCCUCUCCUUCAAGCAAAGCAAGGUAAAAUUGUUUGACAUGUCAUCCAUCCUAUGCUAAGGACUUGUGUAGAGCAUCUAGUCAUUCCCUACAUGUCUUAGGCUCAUUCAUGAAAUUCAAAUGAAUUUGAUGCUUGUAUGGUACCACUAUUGCUUCUAUGCAUUACUUGAUCUAGUGGUAGCAUAUGACAUGUUUGUGGGCUUGCAAAUCCUAGUGUUUGAUCUAGAAUAUGAGCUAUAAGUGUUUAACUCAACAUGGUACAAGAUAACCCUUAUUUGGAGGUGUGGAGAAGCUUGUCCUUGGAUCAAACCGAGUUAAUUAUCUUAGGCAAGUAAUCUAGAUUGGACCAAUUUGGGAAAAUGAUCUCACUACACAUGGUUUCACACUAACCUAUCUAAAAUUUGAACUCACCUUUUGUGGUCUUUGAUGACAAAGGGGGAGAAAAUUUCCAAAGAUUUAAGAUAGGUAAGUAACAUGAUAAAAGAAGGGGAUCAAUUAAAAUUUUGAAGCACACAAGUAGGGGGAGCAAGCUCAUUAACUUGUUUGUUGCAUUUGAAUGUGCAUCACAUAUGGUUGCUUGCAUUUGCAUUAGUUUUAGAAACUUUCUCUCCGAUGCCUUGCUUGUGUGGUGUAUGCUAGUUAUAGGUUUGAUUGAUGAAAUAAAGAAUUAGCAUGCAUAGGUAGUAUAACUAGACUUUUAGUUAUUUCACAAGUGGUACUAGAACCUUGUUUAUAAUGUUGAUCUCACGGGGUGUUCUAGUUUUGUGAAUGUCUAGUUACUAAUGGUGCUAAGGAUGGUGUAUAUUGGCAACUCCAAUUGGUAUCACGCUUCAAAGGUCCAUUCUUUACACCUUAGCAUCAUUUGGUAGAAAUUGACUCCUAUAUUUCCUAUUCAAGCAUAUGUGCAAGCUUUCAAAUCCAAACUCUUAGCACAUAUGUAGGGGGAGCAAUUGCUACCAAUUUGGGUUUAUGAAACUUGUCCAUAACCUUUGCACAUGGUAAAAUGCUUGGACAAGCAACAUGAAUCCAAGAAAAUUUUAUUGAAAAUCUUUGUAAAAAGGGUUGUCAUCAAUUACCAAAAAGGGGGAGAUUGAAAGCCCUAGUUUGGUUUUGGAUAAUUGAUGAAACCCUAGUACUAACCUCUAUGCUAAGUGUGUGUAGACUUAAUAAGGUUGGUACAUGCCAAGUGAUGGAGCAAGAGAUGAUCAUGGUGAUGAUGGUGAUGACCUCAAGAUGAUCAAGUGCUCAACUUGGAAAAGAAGAAAGAGAAAAACAAAACCCUAUGGAGAUCAAGACAAAGGUAUUGCCUAGGGUUUUGGUUUUGGUGAUCAAGACACCAUAGAGGGUGUGAUCACAUUUAGGAUAGAAAGCCGUACUAUUAAGAGGGGUAAUCUCGUUGUGAAAACGGUUGUCUAAGUGCCACUAGGUGAUUGGAUUCCUUGCAUGUGCAUUAGGACCUAGUGAGCUAACUAAGUAACCCUUGAAAAAUGUUUUGAAAUAUGCUAACACUCGUGCACAAGUGUGGAGACACUUUGGUGUUGGCACAUGGAAGCAAGGGUAGAAGUUGAGAAACUUUUCGCGCAGUGCUUUCAGGCCGGACGCGUCCGGUAUGAGGUCGGACGCGUCCGAGUUGAGGCACCGGACGUGGAAACAGUUUUCGCGUAGAGUCCGGUGUUCCUCGUCUGGUGAGUUCGUUUCUCGGUGAAACUCUCUGAGUUUGGGUCCGGUGCACACCGGACGCGUCCGGUGUGAACUAGGACGCGUCCGAGUUGGCGUCCGGUGCAAACUCCUCUUGCAGAGCUCUCUGGGUGUGAGUCCGGUGCACACCGGACCGUCCGGUAUGUGCGUCCGGUGUGGCGACUGGUGUUGACUCAAGUUUGCGACGCUCUCUGAGUUUGGGUCCGGUGCAUACCGGACGCGUCCGGUGUGACACCGGACGCGUCCGGUAUUUCAAAAGUGAGCAUCCGGUGCCUUGACAGUGUCAGAGGCAACGACUACUUUUCUAACGGUCAGGAGCACCGGACGCUGGUCUGGCUCAUACCGGACGCGUCCGGUGUGAACUAGACGCGUCCGGUGUGAACGCAGACAGUGGUUUUCCUGCCAAUGGCUAGUUGAAGCUUGGGACUUCUAUUUAUAUGCCUUGGCCGGUUCAUGCUCACUCUCUUGACUCUCUAACUUGUUGAUACACCUUGUGAGCAUACUCCCACACAUCCCACUCACCUUGUUCAAGAUUUGUUCAUCCAAAGUGAGAUUGGGAGAGAUCCUAGUUGCAUUUGCUUAGAGUUUGAGCAUCUAGUGGCACUAGUGAUCGUUGAGCAGCGGGUUUGCUUGUUACUUUUGGUGGUUGCCGCCACCUAGACGGCUUGGAGCUGCGGAGGAGCUUUGGCACGAGUUGGUGAUUGUUCGUGGCCAUCUUCCGGUGAUUGUGAGAGGUUUGUGUCUACCUCGGCGGAGAGCCAAAGGCAAUAUUAGUGGAUUGCUCGUGUCAUUGAGCUACCUCACUUGUGGGUAGGUUCUUGUGGUGUCCUAGUGAGGACGAGGUUCGUGCUACACCUCUUAGCCACCGAACCACCAAGUGUUGGUCGACACAACGGGGACGUAGCGUGCCGGCAAGCACGUGAACCUCGGGAGAAAAAUUGCUUUUCUCCAUUGUGUUUGUUCAUUGAAUUUCUCCCGGUGAUUGGACUUCAUAUUAUUGAUUGGUUCAUCCCCUCUACGCGGUGGUAUAAAGAUCAAACCUUCUCUCUUACAUUCCCGCAAACUAGAGUAGCUUACUUACUUAUAUAGAAACUUUAGGUAGCUCUCUAGUGUAAGUAGUGACAUAGCUCUUGUGUGCCUAGUGAUCUUAACAACUAGAAUUGUUGGAUAGGUGGCUUGCAAACACCCCUUUAGAGCUAGAGCAAAAAGCUUCGCUUUGUUAUUUACUAACCUCUUGCUCUAGUGAGUUUGCAGAAUUUUUAAAUAGGCUAUUCACCCCUCUCUAGCCAUAUUAGGACCUUUCACCCCUUCCUCCUAAUGUUUCACUCAUUUUUAGGACCUAUGAACGUCGCAAGCCAGUUCCAUGUGCCAUUAUCAUGCUGCAAAUAGUAAAUGUAUUUAUAUAAUAAUUUUCUAGUCUUUUGUUUUCGUCAUGUUAGUUGGUAGAAUGGAUAUACUGAUGGAUACAUUUAUCUAAUAUUUCCCGCUUUGUCCAAGCAUUACCUAUCAGAGCUUUCCCCUUCGUACUUAUAUUUGUUUGUUAGGUAUCAACUAACUUUACAUUCGAGCUGGGAGAUCCAAUAUUUUAGGGACUAUGCUAAACAUAUGGAUAGAGGCUGUAGUUAUGGACAUUUAGUUUGAGUUGAACUUUUCUUUUGCUUUUCUAUGUCUCAGCUGACUAUAUUUUCCUGCUAGGUUUUUUCUUCUUGAUUAGAAAGAAAAUUAGUGAAGACCACCACAAAUGGAUAUAUGCAGUCUUGGCCCUUCUGACCUUUUUGUGACUUUCACAUCGGAACAAAAAUGGAGAGAGGUAGCAUAUGCCUUGCAAUUCAUGUUUGGACAACUACAUCUACAUGCGAUUAUUCUGAUUUAAAAGACCAUGUCUUCAGUAUGAAAGUUGAUCAUUUCGAGCGGAUAUUAGGGAGGACACAACAUUUAUGAGGCAAAGCUCUAGAUUCUAGGAAAGAAAAGAUAGGUUUCUUCAGAGGUAGAAUGCCAUAAAAAGAUAGAUACCUACAUGCAUCAGGGGUACUUCUAGGUGAAGAGGUAGAACUUCAAACUAAAUAUCCAUACUUUUUUUUAUCUUCAUAUAGAUGUCAUACCACCUAAAAAUGAUUCUAAACACAACUGUUUGAAUGUUAUCCUGCAGUGAGACAAAAAUUUGAAACUUGGUGACCUAACAUAUGUAUCUGAAUUUCUUGGUCCUCUAAACAACAGUACUCUUGGCCUCUCAUGUUUACAGUGCAGUCAAAGAUUACUAAUCAGCAAAGAAGGUCAUGGUGCUUUGGCCUCACCAGUUGCAGCGGAGUGGUGAUCGACAUGCAUCUGAGACCUCAUUUGCAACUGCAGUUCACCAAUCUUUUAAUUUGUAUAUAGCAUUAUAUAUCUACUCUGAGAUCACGAUAUAUCUAGAGGGGCAUUAUAAACUACUGGCUUUAGUGUUGGAUUAUGACCAUGAACUGUAAUAGAUGGGUAUGUAAUGUAUGACCUGAUAGAACCAUAAUAGCUAUGGUAGCAAUACAUGAUACACGUGAUGAAGGAUCAUUUAAUUAAUCUGUCCAAACAUAACCAUAUUGGCUGUGAUGACUAUACACUUGUUAUAUGUUAAUACUUCAUGAUUUGUGCUAAGUAUCUGGUGAUAUGAUAUCUUCAAUCUAAUGCUAUAGUAAUAGUUGUUAUAACUCUACUUAGUAUCAGUGGUUACAAUUGUGCUUCGUAUCUUUGUCAUAUGAAUUGACUUUCCCUCACAUCAUUGCAGGGCGCCCGAAGGGCGCCUAAUGCUCUAGUUGUUUGUAAUGUAAGACGUUGUUAGUGGUAGAUUUAGCUCUAGAUGUUUAUAACAAAGUUGUUCACAAUUUAGUAAGCUUUCUAGAAAGUACAUAACCAUAAUUUAUGGGCUUAUGAAACUCAAGUUAUGGCUGUUUAAUGUGGCAUGAUAGGUUCCAUCCAUGUUUUGGACAGAGAUGUCUUUAUGGGGCUUGAUAAAUGUUUUAUAAUUAUAAAUAAAAUCUAAAAAUGGAAAAUGUUGUUCCAGUACAAUUCUGUGAUACUGUUGUAUCAUGUUGAUAUAUAUUAUGGUCAUGAGUUUGAAGAAAAUGUGAGUUUUAGAUUUAUCUUGCUCUCACAUGGUUAAUUGCAAUAGCAAUUUGUCUUUUUCAUAGAGACCGCUAUGUUUGUUAAAAUACAAUGAAAUUUGUAUAAUAGUCUAUUUAUAGUAUGUAGAGGCUACUGUAAUUUUGGUGGAAUUUACUGUGUACUUUUGGUAUAUGUUCUUUAAUUCACCUUAUUAUCCAAAUAAUUUAAGAAAUGCAUUAAAUAAAUUUAUUUGGUAGUGACCACUAUGUUUUCUGGUGUUCUUUAGAUAUGUGCAAACUGUUGGUAACAAUGGUUUUGCUCAAAGGCAUGUUUGAAACAUAAGUUAAAAAUUAAUUGUUUACAAUAUGUAAAUGAUGUUUUCUGGGAAUCUUGUUUAUAGCAAAGUUGUAGAUAAUUCACCAGUCUACCUGCUGUUAAAAUUUGGUAGUAUUUGGCCUUGUGGUUUGUGAGUUAUGUCUGUUCCAAGUUGGAUUCCAGAAAUGGCUGCUCUCUGUUUAUCAGGGACAGAUUCUGGAAAUUUAUAAUUUCGACCAGCUUAAGUUGCGAAUCAUGCUUUGAUGACUAAAUAUGAAAUGCAGAUAAUUUCUUAAGCUUUCCAUAAUGUCUCAAUUCAUGUCUUUUGGGGUUGUGUAACUCCAGUUAUGAUUUAUUUACUCAGCUGCUGUUAACAGUCCUAAAAAUGGCAGAUUUCUUUUAUUGCUGUUGCUUGGUAUAUUGCUAUGUAUGACUCAUGUCUUUGAUAAUGGCCAAGUAAUUACACCUGAGAUCUUGUGAAACAUGUAUGCCAUGCCUGAUAUACUUGGUUGCAUUCUUUGUUGUCUUAGCAUGUUGGUUGUGUAAUCAUUAAGUUGAGCAGUGAGAUAUGCUUAAGUAUGUUUAGUGUAACCAUGCUCUUGUCAUUCUUCUUGUGUGUGAUGCUUUGUCUAUUGCACUUCUAUAUGUUCAUGCACUUGCAUCUUGCAUCUCAUUUAGGUACGCUAGAUGAACCACGUGAAGGACGUGAUGGUGGACCUAUCGGGAUGAUGGAAGGACUACACAAGUGUUGUCAUCUUAGAUGUCACCAAGACGGAGCAAGCUAACUAAUUUGACUCGGUGUCACAUUCCAGGCAAGCCCCAGAGUAUUAUAAGCCUCCUACUUUUUGAAAGUGAAUGAGUAUAUAUAUGUUACAUAUGUAUUGUUGCAUUAAGUAUAGCAGUUGGAUGAAACCCUUGCUGCAUAUAUAUACCUUCCUUGUCCAGUAUAUAUAUAACCUGAAUCCUAAUUAGUCAGGAUCACGUCUAUGCUUAGCCAUGCUUAGCUCGGUUGAAGCCAGGUGAUUUCCUGUCACCUGCGGGAUAUAGGUGGAUUCCGGAUCACGGUUGGCUAUAUUUGCAAUCGUGGAAAAUAACCAUGUGUUAAUAAUAUGAAAGGAGACCGGGCGGGAUGAUGAUAGUGAUGCAACAAGGCAUGGAGGUCUUGGGUGUGGAUCUAUGCCCGUCUGUGUCGAUUAAGAACCGAUCGUUGUACGUCCUCUUGUCAUGUUGAACGCCUGCCUGACACUUAGUUGGCCGAAUAAGUCGUUCCGACCGCGAAGCCUAGUAGUAUGACUCGGGCCGGAAGACCGACAAGUAUAAAGUGCGGUGUGCGGGGGGGCAUUGGCGUAAGACCAAAGGCAGGUGAGUUAAAAGUCCAGACCUCCUUGGCAGAGUGGCAGCCCUAGGAGUGCGGCGCUGAUCGGAGCCGCGAUUCCUGAGUCGUACCAAAGGUGACCCACUUGCUCUCCGACGGGGGAAGCAUGGGUGAGUGUUGGGAAGAACCCUCCAGCUAGAUAGGAAUCGAUUUGAAUCGCCGUCUCUCCCGGAUAGUGAGAACUUGACAGAGCAGCGGCAAACGUAGCAUUCACUAAUAACUUAAUGGUUCUAUGAUGAUGAUGAUGAUCAUAGCCUCGAUAAACCUGAUAUGGUUAUUAUUGAUUGAUAUUAAUCAAGUGAUUGCUAUAGUACAGGUGCUAAUCUAGUUGAUAGGUUAAUGAGAAUUAAAUGGAUGCUAAAUAAGAAAGGUUUAACUAUUUAUACUUAAACUUUUUAUGCAAAAUGUUGUCCAACAAGCUCCACUUAUAUAUCAGCCUUGCAUACUCCUUGGUGUCAUUUAUUUCUAGUUUAUGACGGGUAAGUCUAGUUGAGUACAUUCUCGUACUCAGGGUUUAUUCCCACUUGUUGCAGGUUGUGAUGUAUCAUAGCUACUGCAAGAUUUGGAUGACUCCUGCUAUAGGGAAGGAGUAAGAUCAUGGGUAUGAUGCUUCCUACUUACCCAUCUAUGAUGCAUUUGUUGGAAUGGACCAUGGUACUGGCAUGUAUUUGAAAUAAAAGUGAUAUUGGUUUCAAAUUACUUUGCUUAUGCUAUUUGUAAACUUGAGUUGUAAUAACCUUAUCGAACUAUGAUGUAUUUGAACUACUUGCGAAAUGUAUGUAAUGUGUGACUUGUUAUGUUGAAUCACUACGAUCUUGGCUUGUAUGUUGGUUGGUUCGAAAUCCCUCGUAAUUUUGUUGGACUACUGGAGUUAUAUGGGCUCAAGUAUGAUAAAUUGAUCGCUUCGGUGAUUGUUUUUGUACUUGUGCUCUUAUAAUUUGGACGGUUCCGUGAUAGCUGGCAUCGGAGCAAGGUUCAACAGUAAAUAUGUCACAUGUGUAUUUGAAACAAGCUUUUCUUUAUAAAAAUCAGUUUUGGCAACUUAUAGCUAUAUAUAGGUGUGUUCAAAUCUAAACCUUUAAUCUAAGUAUGCCAGUGGUCAUUCCUCUAUGCCCAACUAAGGACCUUUAGGUGGCUUAGUUAAGUACUAACUGUGGGGGGAUUUACUUACUGCAAUUUUUAUUUCGUCGUCCAUACGGCGUGCUAUUGUAUGGAUGCCAUUCACUUGAGUGGUAAUGUAUGGAUCAAUUUACAUCUACGCCCAGGCCAAGGUAUGUAUGUAUGAUGACCGCACUAUGCUACCCUGUGGUCAAAUGGUAGAGGUAGCCCUCAUAUAUGAAUUAGCCAUAUAUGUUGAUAGAUUCAAAUUUUGCUACAUCGCACCUACGGUCAGGUAAGUGUGAGUUGUGAGAGCAUGAUCGUCCAACCGUCGGUCUAGGGGAGAGCUAGUUUUGGUUACUGGAAUAUUUACAUGUUAUACACAUGUAUAUAUGAAGGUACUUAAUUGUGUGUUAGUUUGAUGCUGAAAUAUAUAUAUUGGGAUAUAUAUAUAUAUGGAAGCAUUUAGCUUUCAACCUAGAGUCCAGUAUUUCAUUUCAUGCACUUAUAUCAUUGUUGGGUUGGGCUGAAAUGAAAUUUUCUGCAGGUACGCUAACCACGAAUGCGUAGAUUGUUUGUAGCUAACGACUAGCUUUAUGUCGAGAGUGUGCGUAUUAUGCCACCGAUAUAGAACGUGAUUACCACCUUAGGCUGGUGAUUUUGUGAGGACAAAUAGGACGAAGCAUGCAUCAUCAUGAUUGAUUGCCCCAUGCAUAACUUUGCUCUUGUCACCCUUGUUCUAACAAUAAGUAACUUGUGAAUUAAUAUGGUGUAACUUUGCUUGUGUAAAGUUAGAUAAAAUGCCUUGCUCUAUGUUGCUUGAGUAGCUAUGCUUGAUGUUAGGUUCUUCCUUCCUAGUUACCUACACAGUAGUUCUUUUUAUGUGUGGUUUCCUUGCUUUCUAGGUGUGGUUGCAGCACAAGUUGUCUAACCUCUUGUCCUCGGUGAGACCAUGAGUUGUCAUCAAGCCUUAUCAUUGUGAUUUUCUCACAAGUUGUCUCAAGUACACCUUCUUGCUUAGAACACAUGAGCUUAUGCGUGUGUACCUAACCAAACCUCGUUGGGUUCUCUUGAAUAUCAACUUUUGCCCAUGAUAUGUCCUUGUUUGAGCUUUGCCCAAAUUCUUUUGGACCCUUUGCUAUCUAUCUAAAAAAAAUCAUCCUGUUCCUAAAGACAUGAUCAUAUCUACCUAUUUUGUGGUACAAUAUCGUAUCAUGAUCCUUGUCCUAAGAACCAGAUGUUGGGUUGCAUAAUGGUUAUCUGUCAAAUCAUGAAUCCCAUGUCAUGAUGCCAAUCAUUCUUAAUCAUGCAACCUACUACAUUGGUUAUGCAUCAAUGUCAUUAUUCCCUAAAUCCUUGAACCACAUGCACACGUGCAUGUAGAAGGAGGUAUGCUCACAGUUAGUGGGGUACACCAUGUUCAUGUUAUAUCCUAACUGUAAUCAUCUUAUUCAGUAUCUUUCUAAAGAACAUUCUUCUGCUCUUGUGCUUGCUGCCCAAUUAACUAGGUUACCCUUUGAUCUAUCUCGAUGGCUUGCUUAUGUUUUGGUCAAUUUGUGCCAUCCGUCAACAUGAUGCACAUGUUUGAGAUGGCUGGCAUUUUUGGACAUAAGUGAGAUUUAUCUUCUCGACUGAAUAAGAGUUAUGCACCUACUCAGUAAAGGAUAACAACACAUUCCCAUCAUGUUAUGUUUACUCUCUACCACCUUUGCUCAUAGUAAUGGUUGCUGGAGAUAAUUUCAUUGAUGUUCUCGCAUGCUUGCUUAUGUCUCGGGUGUCUUGCUUCUAUGUGCGAAAACCUUACCCCAAGAAUCCUCUCAGACCACUUGGUUCCUUCUCCUAUUGUAACAUCCCCGAUGUUACGGUUACUAAAACUGGACCAUGUCAUCAUAAGCAUUGCAUAGCAUAUUGAUUAAGCACAACUUGAUGCACCAACUUAAAACAAGUUUAUUUUGAUUGCUUGUGCCUAGGGAAGUAAAGUGUGUUUAUGUUGUGAAGUGAUGCUUGUGUUGGUUGUAUAAUUCCUAGGGUGGAAGAUUUCCGAGAAAAUGGGGGAAAAAACCCUAAUUUUAAAGCCUUGUUUUGCCCCCUUUUGUGCAAUUUAAAAACUAAGCAAAAUUUGAAGUUGAGUUCAAAAGCAAAGUUGUAGAUCUUGUCAAGAUGUACAACUUUGAUGUUUUGAGUUUUUGAUGUUUCAAUGCAAAAUUCAAAGUAAUUUUGAAAAUACAGUUUUCCAGAAAGUGUUCCCUUUUCCAAUUUAAAUCCGCAAUUCAAAAUCUAUUUAGAAUCUUGAAAAGUGACCAACAUGAAAGUUGUAGAGCUCAAAAAGUUGAACAACUUUCAUGUUGGGAAUUUUUCAAGUUUUUAUGGAAAAUCAAAAGUAAUUUUGGAAAUUCUGAUCUGCCCCAAUUCAAAAAUUUGAAUUUCCCCAAUUUGAGAUUUGAAGUUCAAACUGUUUUGUCAAAUUCACCCUUUUCCACUCCGAAUUAGCUUUGGUCACCAAAACAUGUUUCGUAGUUUGUAAAUUUCUGCACAACUUUCAUUUUGGUGAAAAUUUGGCUCCAGUUCAACUUUUGGUCGAAUUUCACAAAAGACAGAAAGGGGGAGGGAUAUGGACGGCUACAGUGAUCCGAUAGGGAUCACGGCGCCCUGUCCAGCGCGGCCGCCGCGCGUGCCGCGCCGCGUGCGCACGUGCGAGCACGCAGCUGCUUGCCUGCCUGCGUCACUGGGCUACGUGGACGCCCCGGGCUCGCUUCCCCCUCACCUUGAGCACCAGCGCGGACGGUGCCGCGCGAUUUCUCUAUCCAAGACCGAAGAACCUUGACGGCUCUCUCUCUCAAAUUCACCGCACUCGGUCCAUCUCAAGUCAAAUUGAGCAGUCCACAACGUUCGCCACACCCUUGCGAACUCAGAGCACCCCCUAGCUCACCCUCUAACUCGCCCAAUUGCCGGCAUCUCUUCUUCUUCCCCAACUCCGGCGGGAACCCCCGCCGUGGAGCUCUCUCCGUGGCCGCGCUGUUCUAGUGAGCAAUAUACCUUGCUAGCGGUUGUUUCCGGUUCCUCUUCAUCCCCAGAAGCUCAUGCGCUUUCUCUUUUUCCCUAGACGCGAGCAGGAUCACCGGAACGACCUCGCCGGAGCCGGAGCACCCGCCCGACGACAACGCCACCAUCGCCAAAGCAUUCCGUUGCUUCUCCCGCCAUGGUGAUGUGAGCACCAUGCUCCCCGCUUCUUCUCGAACCUCCCUGACUUGCUCGUUUGCGCUCUACCGAGCCCUAGUGGCCGGUCUAUGGUCGGCUAUGGCGGCCGCCCGCCAUUCGCGUGGCCGAGGUGGAAGGGAGAGAGUAGAGCGCGUUUGGGUGAUAGCAAUAGGAUCGCGAGGCUAAGGCGGAGCCGUUACGCGCGCGCGCGUGGGCCGAGACCCUCGCCAACGGCGGCCGGAGCCGUGGCCGAGCCGCCAUGCGUGGUGGAGACGAAGCUGACGGGUGGGACCUCCCCGUCAGCGUCUUGCAGAGAGGGGAGAAGGCGGGUUCAGUGCGUGGGCCGGCUUGGGCCAAAGCCGAGCGGGCCGGUCGUAGGAGCAGUGAACUUUUCCUUUUUCUUUUAUGCAAAAUUGUGAUGUAUGUUUGAUUUUGUGUAGAAAAUUUGAUACUGAUUCAAAAAUCAAGGAAAUUUUUGUGUAGGUUCUAUGAAAUAAGUAGAACACAGGAAAAAUAUUAGAUUCUAUUUUCUGGUAGUUCGCAUGUGUAUAAAAAUUUCCUCUUUUAAUUAGCAAAUAAAACUUCUAUGAAUUUUAAUAAUUUAAUUGCACGUCCGAAAAUCACCAAAAUUUGUGGGAUGCCUCUGAAUAUUAUUCCCUGGCUUCACACAAAAUUUGGUGGCAUUUGGAUAAUGUUUGAAUAAAAUAUUAAUAUACCCUUAAUUAAUAAUUAAAUAAUAAUUCUAGAAUAAUUAGAUGAUAAUUAGUUUAAAUUCUCAAAAUUAGGGUCUGAGUGAUUUUGGGAUUGUGUGAUGACAUGAGGUCAUUAACCUUAAUGACCUUUGGCAUUUAAUUAUUGUUUGGCAUUAAUGUUUAAUUGCUGUCAUUAACACUUAAUUAAGAACUAAUUAAAAUAAAAAAGGUUUAAUAGUCAGUUAAUUAAGGAUAAUUAUGAAUUAAGAGAAAUCUUAAUUUCCUGAUGCAACCUCUUGGGUAAGGAACACUAAAAUGACAAACAACUUUAAUUACUGUUUAACCUAUCCUUGCACCGAGGAGAAGAGUUGUAUUCAACUCGGUCCUUCUUAAAUAGUUGUCAUAAGCAUAUCAUGAGCAUACAUCAUUUUACGUGUAGUGCACGUGACCGAAGGAGCGACCGUUGAACCAAACCCCGAGGUCGGUGCUCCGUUCGAAGAAGUAGAAUCCGAGACUUGGGAAGUCUCCGAGGGUCCCUAUCAGCUCUGCAACCAAGGCAAGCCCCGGAUGCAUUAACCCCACCUUGAAUAUUUUAAAUCUUUUAUCACUUAUGAAUUGAAAAUACUGCAUUAGGUAGUUGAGAAUUGGGUUGACCUACUUGCUGCAUUUACUACCUUGAUAUUCGUUAUCCUGUCCUUGGCACCUGUUUUAUUUUAAAAAUUGCGUAGUGAUGCUUAGCCCAGCUACUAGAUAGGUUUUCAAACAAGAAAGUUUGAAGGGUUAUUGUGGAAUACACUUAUGGUCAAUGAUGUUUCAACUUGAGACCGGUCAGUGGACUUGCUUUAAGAAUGAAUUCUUAAAGUAGUGUCUCCAACUGUGUCGGUUAAGGACCGGUCUGUUGAUGGCCUGUUGGGUUGAGAAUUUAUAGUACUAGCCACUUGCCCUCGGUAAGCCCGGUCUUGUGAUCCCUCGAUGCGAAUAGCUACUCGCGCACUAGGCGUGGAGCGAUGGCGAGAGUAGUGUGUACCCACCUUACGGAUCUGAGAUGACCGGGAAACAUCUAGAUCGGCUGUAGGAUGGUGGGGUAUUGUGCUCUCGGGUGCCGCGAACCUAGUCAAAUUUGGGGAGAGCUCGAUUUGGGUUGACAUAUGCAAGAUUUGGUUCUACAUAUGUCGGGUGGUUAGGAACUCCAGCUGGAUUGCUAAGCGAUUCGAAUCGUCGUUGAUCCCCGAUUGGGGGACUCAAUUCCUUCGACCCUCAUCGUAGUUAAAUAUGCAACUAAGUGAUGAAAUGGGAAAGGGGGAAAUGUCUCAUGAGGUUCGGAUCCCAAUUCCCGGACUCAGAGUGACAUGAAGCUAUGGCCGUUGGAUAGAUAAUACUUUGGUUAAGGACUAGGAACUUACAGACUUGUUUGUGAGAGACAACUAGAUAGACUGUCCUCGAACUCCUCGACCACUUAAGGAGAGGAAUUCACGGGUAAAACUUGAAAGUAAGGAUGCACUAUUAGUAGGCUUUUGGCAAAACAAUUUGGCUCCUUGCUCAGCCACUCCUUGUCUACCCUAAGCCUACAUCCCUAAUUUCUCCUCUUUUUCCGCCGGGUAAGUCUUGUUGAGUACUCCCGUACUCAGGGUUUUAUAACCCCUGUUGCAGGUGAAGCUCAGGAGCCGACAUGUUUCGGACCCUGUUGUGUGUCCGUCGUUGAGGUUGACGACGAGGAAGAGUCAGCGUGACCCAUGGGCAGGGUCUGUAAAUUUGUAAUCUGUGUACCAAAGUUUAAGUUGCUCCGCUGGACCUGGCUUGUAAUAACACUCUACUAUUUGGAAGAACUCCUUUUGUAAAUUAAGUUAUGUAAUACUUCUGUUGUUUUACUCUGAAAUAUUAUUUUGGUCUUAUGUCGUCUGUAAUACUGCAAUGUCUUUGCAAUGAAUGAUCCUGGUGUUAAGGUGGCCACUUGCUAUCCUGUAAGGGCGAGAAGAAGAAGUUUUCGUUAAUUGACCAUUGCUGGUGGUCAAGACGAGCUUGUUUGAUACGCCUCAGGUAGCGGUGGAAUGAGCAUCCUGAGAAGCUCAUCGGACUUCUAGAGUGGGAGGAUCCCCGACAUCACCGUUAGAGGUCCUUAGGACAAUGACAGGUGUUGGUGGGCCCAAACACUUAGGAGGUUCUGCCACAGCUGGUAUCGGAGCAUUCGUUGCUAAGAUGACUGCUGUAUCCUUGAAAAAUUUCAAAACCAUUUGGAUCCAAUACUAUAAACUUGCCUAUUUUGAGUCCAAAUGCUUUAGUCCUACCUUACCCUUGUCUGUAGGCCUGGUUAGAAUCUUUGAAGUGGUGUGGAGGAGCAACAUAAAGUAUUGCCCUAUGUUGUAAAGUUUUUAAGUAAUAUCGUUAUGAAUUUCUAGUAUGAAUCGUAAGUACGUGCAUGCAUCAUGAUAUGUCACUUGGUUAAAUUCCUUCCUCUUUGUUUGGGUUGGGUUGUAUAGAAUCAAUCCCAUUCUUGCUAACCUUUAAGGUCUCCCUUACUAAUCCAAACUUACCCUCUACAGGAUGGGUCGUUGGAAGCAGACCCCGCGCAAGAGAACUGGUCCUAAAGGAGUGCAUAGACACCAGUUGGCCCCGCGAAGCGAUCAAGCAAGCAGUAGCCAUUCACCAUCUUAGCAGGAGGUGGAAAGGUUAUCCGCCGAGCUGACCGAAGUGACGAGAGAAAGGAUGUACAACGUCAUGGAGAUUGGUGAACUUAAAGCUCAACUAACAAAACAAAAACAAGCUACCGAGAACUGCGAGGCAAUGCUGUCCCGUAUGGUGGAAGAAAGGAAUGCCGCUAUUGCCCGAGAAGAGGAGGCCAGGAGCGUGCACAUGCACGAGCUGACCAGAAUAAAGGCUAAGCCGGACAAAAACAAGUACCUUAAAGAUCUAUACAUGAAGAUGGCGGCCACUGUCACCGUGCAGAGGGAUGUCGCGUGGCAGCGGGAAGACCAGCUACAGCUGAAGAAGCUCGAGCUGGCACAUCAUCUAGACAUCGUCAACGACUUGGCGAUGUAGUACCGUGAUAUUGCAUUCGACCUAUACCAUCAGCUCCAUCCACCUCCAGGUGAAGGGGAGAUGGACCCUGACGGAGACUUAGCGGAUGAUGGGGAGCCCGACCAAGACCUCAGUCACGAGGAGGAAUCCGACUCCGGUGACGAUAACCCGGGGGGUAACCAUGACGAUGACAAUGACGACCCGGGCUACGGCUCUGACCACACCGACUAGUUCGGUGAAGUCGCGGGCAACGUCGUUGAAGGAUUUCUAGUCUACCGUAGUGGGGUCGGGUCUGUAGUAUAGUGUUUUCCUUUAAAGUUGUACUCGUUUAUUUCCAGUGUGCUGAACUGAUGGAAGUAUGUAAGAUAUGUCUUAAGUUAUGGAUUCCAUAUGGUAACAAGUACAUAUGAUUCUUGUAGCAGAUGCCGAUGCGAACUCGUGGAUCUGAUGGAGCCGGGUCUUCUCAGGGAGGGGAUGAUAUCCCCAACCCUCCAUCUGCUCCACCUUCCCUGGCAGAUGCCAUUGCUGUUCUUUUGAGUGCCACUACCGACAACGCUCGCUUGUUGCGCGAGUUAGCACAACGCCAACCACACCCCGCUGUUGGGUAUUUUAAACGCAAACAGAAAAAUCCGCAAGCGCACGGAUACCGAUGUAGCCUUCACCCGGGAGUAUUCCAGAGUAUCGAUUUUCCACAGAGAACGUGAGUGUACUAAUUAAGAAUCAAGAUCGCCCAAGGAUAACUAUAUAAUUAUUUUUGGUGGGAAGAGAGGAAGUUUCCUGAGAGUUCUCUAGUUGAUCUAAGAAUCAAGAAUUACUUCAAGAUUAUCUAUAUCGGGACAUCAGAACACUAACCUCAGAAAGAGAUGAGAAGGGGGCUAGGAAGCUCCGACUACGGUCCUACAAACACCGAUCCGAACGAGGUGGAAUACGUCGACCGAUAGGGCUGUCACUACCCUAGGGCUACCACAACAAUCCGCAGGAUUGGGUGCAAUUCCAGGUAAUCGCAAGACUAAACACCACGUCUAAUCUAUUAAUUACUACUCUAAUGUUUCAAAGACUAGAGCACUUGAUGCAAGCGGGAAUCCAAUAAAUAACUUGAAUGUAAAUAAAAGUAAUUAGAGAACUCAGGAGUUAUGAGUUGAAGAACCUGGAGAACGAUGAAGAACGAACCAGUUGCUGCAAAAGUACAAUGUUGAGGAAGAUCCGACAGAUCCGGCUCCUCCUCCGCUCUCCUCUUCUCUCUCCCUAUUUUCUAGAUUACAACUAGAACUAACUAGAACUAGAACUAGAGGAACUAGAACUAGAACUAGAUGAACUAGAACUAGAUCUAGAUGAACUAGAGGUAGAACUAGAAGAACUGGAGGGAUCCUCUCUACUUGGAUGAAGAAUUGAAACCCUAACUUUGAUUCUGUAGAAGAGGUAUGAUCUCCAGGGGCCAGGGGGGGUCUGGUUUUAUAGUCCCUUCAAGUGAAUCUGGGCCGUCGGAUCAAACCGACAUUGAUCGUGUGGUUUUCCUUGAAGUAUUAGGUCGGUGGAGCAUGAUCCCCGAACUUCACCCUGAUUGGUCCAGGGGGGAGGGCGGGCGCCCUCAGGACUAGGGCGGGCGCCCUGUCCCUGAGGCCUCUCGGCUUCCGCUUCGGUCCCGUGGCUUCUGGAGUCUUCUAGAUGAUAGAAAAUUGCGCGGCAUGUUAAUAUCUCUAUGUAAACCCGACGUGUGGGCCUUUCUUCCUUAUUUCCUGAUAACCCCCUGCAGAAAUAGACAAACACCAAAACUCGUGGAAUUCUGUCAGAUAAAACCCUAAGUCUAGGUGUUGAUUGUAUUUGGAUCCUUUUCUAUGAUUAGUUGAUAGUUAAAUGUGAGCAUUAAGGACCGUCAACAAGCUCCCCCAAGCUUAACCUUUGCUCGUCCCUGAGCAAAGAUAAACUCAAGAGUUUCUGCAGUGGUUUCAUAACUUAAAGAUACACAUGCGUUUAAACAAGAUCUCAUCUCUGGUUAGAGUAAACUAUUAAGACUUAAAACUUACUCAUUUACCUUUCACCAUGGGACUUGUAACCGUCACUUCUGUCUUGAGUAGUUAAAAGAUAGAACAGUCUAGUCAAGCGCCAUGUCUCUUGUUCUUCGAUUAACUAUAGCUCUAGAGUUUUUGCAGAUUUUCAAAUAAAACUCAGAGAUUCCUUGUAUGACUCUCUCUAGUCUCUCAUUUGUGGUAUUUUUGGAUCCUUACGAAAGCAGUAAUGGUGUAUGCCUUCUCUCAAAGUAUGUGGUAUUUUUGGUAUGAGGCAUAGUGACAUUGCCUUCUCUCUCACCCUACUCUAAUAAGGCUUUUAAUAUCUGGAGCUCAUAGGUGGGAGAUAGCUAAUACAUACUUACAAGACAUUUAUUGUAUAGUCAAACCAUGGAUCCAGAAGAACAAGUCAAUAAGUCAAAUCAAGAUGUGCAUGUGUGGCGAAUGAAUGGUGUAUGGUGAUGAUGGUGAUAACAAUGGUGAAAGUCUAAUUCUACUUAUGCUCUUUUGAGGGGAUACAUACCUUUCUUGCACUUUUGAAACUUUUUGAGGAGAAUGAGAUGCUCUAUGUUUUCUUUUUCUUUUCUCUCAGGUGGGUAUCUUGUACCCCUAAUUCUACUAUCGGACACUUGUCCAUUUUUACCUCUCGUCUCACUUUUUCUUUUCUUCGAGGUUCCGGGCACUUGCCCCUUUUUAUUUCCUCGUAUAUAUUUUUUUCUCUUUUUUUAGAGCACUCAUCUCAUGAGAUAAUAUAGGAAGUGGUAGUAACAAGAUAACUUGAGCAUUUAUUUCACAGGGGAAAAACAGGAAUAUUUUUGGCUAUUCUCUCCCGGAUUAGGAGUACAAUAUUUUUGGGUGGUCCUGGAGAUGGAAAUGGAUAUAUAUGGAUGGUACUUCCAGAGUAGAAGUAGUAUGUAUGAGUGAACGUGCAAGUGAAUCUUGAUUUAACCACAUGACAAGCUCCUAAGGGUCUACAAAGCUUGACCACACUCAAUGCUCAUAAGCAGUAAAAAGUAAAUGUGUGGCUCAAAGUCUAGCAAGCAUGUAUAUAUGGUUGUGGUAGGAAUUUAAACUCUCAUCAUACAGGAACUCAUCAUGCAACAAUUUAAAGAUUUUCAAAUAUAAAAUUCUCCAGAAUUCUAGCAUCUCUAGGAACAGAUAAACAGCAGCUCAACCUUCUCAUAUCGUAUCCGUUAACGACUUAGACUUUAGAUCAAGUACUCUCCUCACAAGUUCAGGUUUAGAGCAAAUCUUAAUUAAUAAUAGUCAUGCCUAAACUUGAGAGAGAUUUCAAUUUUUAGAACUAGUCAUGGCAGAGCAACUAUACAUCAUUUCCAUGUGAGAGCUUAUCAUGAGGAUUCAUAGCAAAUUUUAUUUAUUUAUUUAGUAAACUAAGCAAAUAUAUAUAUAAGCACAAAAUCUUUAUUUGGGUUUAUAUGAUUAUGCAUCUUUUUACUAUUUAGAGUAAAGUAUAAACGUGAGUAGAACACUUAGCUGGAUAAAUAGGGGUGCUCUCCCCCAAGCUGGAUUUUGACGUAAUUCCUUCUGAUGUAGCUGGUGGCGGAGGUGUAGUUGAAUGUCGGCAGCACCCUGACAGUGAUUAGGAUGUCCUCCGUCUGCUAGUCUUCUUUGAUCCUUGAAUUCUGUGGAGCUCAAAUAGACAACAAAGCUUUGUGGAACUGGUUAAGUGUUAACAUAAAUAUCUAGCCUUUAUCAUGUUGAGCCUCCUCAAUAAAUGUUAUUCUCUUUAGUAGGAUCACAAUCUUAUUUAUAUUUUCAUUUUUAUAGGACAGGAAUAUAUAUUUAUUUUAUUUUUAUGCCACCACAAUGAAUGUACUUAUGGGUUUUAGGCCAUGAGCAUACUCACAUGGGGCUUACUUAACAUUUUUAUUUUCUUUUCAAGAUGAUAUGAACCUGAUUAACUAACCAAACUAUUUUAAAUAAUUAAAAGGAAAAAGAUAACUACCAAGUUUACCUUUUGGCAAGGCGUUCGGUGUUUUUACGUCCUCCGAACGGGACUCUCCGUUUUCUUAGUCGUCCUGGGAUUCGCUGGAUGGCGUAGUCGGUGGUUCCGGCGGUGCCUGCUCUUCGUGUAUAACUAUCUUCUCUCUCCACACCUGCCUCGGUGCUACGGUCUCCUUAGGACAGUUCUAUUCAAGUUGUAUAUCUUCAGACCUUACAACUUCUCCUUCAUAGUCUACCCAUCCGUCCUUGAUGAUUUGCCUCCUCUGGUUGCGGUUGCGUCGUCUUCUUCUUGUCCUGACCUGCUUAGAGUCUUUAACUAUAUAGUUAGAGUUAGUAAAAUAGCGGCGUACCUUCUCAGAGGGGAAAUGCAUGUUGACUUCUCUGGUUCCAAUGUAGAUGAUUGCUUUAACGGUGUUGAGGAACAGCCUUCCAAGGAUGACGGGUGGAUUGUACUCAUCUUCUCCCAUGACAAUAACCUUAAAAUCAUCUGGAGCUGAAUGUAUGUUGGUUGUAGGGGCAUGGUUCCAUGCAGGAGUUGAUAAGUGACUGCGGCCAUUAUGUUGAUGUUAGAUCCGGUGUCGUAGAGUGUCUUCUGAAAAGAAUAUCUGUUGAUUGUGCACUCGAUGCUUGGAACACCAGGGUCGUCCUUCUUGAUCAAGAAAGGUGACUUGAGUUGACGAUCUUGACCUCCUUGAGCUGCAGUGACCAUCUUAGCUGACUCGGUACACAUUUGCUUGUUCCUAUUCCUCCUGUUGGUCCUCUUCCUUGGUUCAUGUCGGGAUUGCUCUAAGAUUUGUAUAGUCUUGUUCUUGAAGGAAAACAUCUCCUUCCUUCCCUUGAUGUAGAAACUGAUCUUGGCAGCACUAGCGUAGAUGAUAGCUCCCGAGGUGUUCAGGAAUGGCCUCCCUAGAAUGAUGGGUGCCCUCUCAUCACUACCAGUCUCUAUCACCACGAAGUCUGCUGGAGCGUAUAAGGUACCAACUCAGAUGUAGAGGUUCUUCAAUAUUCUCUUUGGGAAACUAAGCGUACGAUCUGCAAGCUGCAAACACAUGGCUGUUGCUAAUAAAGGAUGUGUAAAGAAUUUUUUAUAGAGUACCCGGAGCAUAAUGUUGACGCUGGAGCCAAAGUUGCAGAGUGCUUCUAGGAAGUCCACCAUGCCGAUGGAGAUCGGGAUGACGGGACGUCCUGGAUUGUAUUUCUUGACCGGCAGAAGGUCAGUAAUUACUUCCACAACAGGGUUACUCUAGUAGUUAUGUCCUCAAGCAUCUCAGGGCAGUGAUUGCCUUAGUGUCCAGUAUCUCCAGUGUGUUUGUGCUCGUAGAUCUCGGUUCUUCACUUGUUGGAGUCUGGGAGUUAUAAAAGUCCUUCAUAUUUUGCUCGAAGUGUACCUGCUCAUAGAGACAAGGCAGAGAUCAAGUGCAUGGGCCCUGUUGGUGGAAAACACCAACAGAACCAAAAGUGUAUUUGCUCUUCUCUAUCCUUAAGCAUAGUGAGCAAGACACAGUUGAUGGAUAAUAAGAUCAUGAGUGUAGCAUUUAAAACAUUCGUCAGAUCAGAUCACUCAACCCAAUGGAAAGAUAAUCUAUCUAUACUUAUGUUUUGUUUAUAUCUUCCAGAGAUUGAAUGUGCAACAUUUUAGUUCAUAUGAUUAGGAGUGUGGGAUCACAAAGGUGGAAGGACUAAACAUGUUGAAUCAAUUGGGUUGGUUAAUCUAGAGUUGCAAAUCAUACAUGUUUGUCUCUUUUAUUCAUGUGAACGCCAGAACCAAGGAGAAGCUUAUAAAAGUGAUAAUCAAGUACCUUAAGAUGUUACCUUUCUUAAAGAGUGAUGGUACAGUAUUACCUUGUGGAAGCUUUCCUUUCUUAGCGGUUGUGCAUUAUGUUUGUGGCACCCUCCAUAGACCAUCUCUUGUGCGCAUGCCUUCCUUGUGUAAAUUGUUAAACUUCAUGUGCCUCUCUCUUUGUCUCCAAUGUGAGUUUGUCUCAGGACUUCCCAGGUUGAUAUGAAAGUUUUCCUGCAGGGGUUAGUCCAACAAAAUAUACCAAUGUCUACACAAGCAGUUUUUAGUUCAAUAACCAAACUAGACUCCAUGUCUAAUUAGAUUAAGGAAGGCUGUUUAACCUAAGCACCAUGCUUAAUUUAAAAACCAAUAGAAGUAUGUACACUACUUCCAAACUAACACUUACUAGGAUAAACCAAGGUAGCGUGAUGGCUUUUAUAGAGAUCUACUCAAGUGGAGAUGAAGUAGUGUGAUUACUAUUUAACAAAUUGAGCAUGUCUCAAAGGUAGGGACAACCAACAUAGCAACAUGGCAAAUGAUGUUUUUAUGUGAAGUACUCCCCCAAGCUUGAAUUUUGCAGAAUUCAAGUUUGGAUGAAUUUAAUUCAAUGUUGUAUGAUGAUUGGUUGUACAUAACUUGUGCUUGUCAUUCAUCCGAUCUUCUUGCUCCAAUCCUAAAAAGGUUAGUGACAAGAAUACCCGAAGGAAUAUUUUUACAAUUAUCCUAAUAUGCUCAACACACAAGGUAAUGUUGCAAAUAAUUAAAAGCUCAUGUUAUGAUCUGAUCAGUGCUUGUUUUAGGACACUAAGCUUGUCCUUGGGAAACCAUCAAUUUAUGUCAGUGAAGUGGUUUCCCCUCCAACGCUGACCUAUAUCAAGAUCAACUCAACGAGAUCUGCAAAAUUUAUUAUAGACAUAUGCAUCGACAACCGCCCUUUUAAAAUUUUUAUAAAUAGAAAGGAUGAGGGGGUUGGAGAUCUCGAAUGUGGUGAUGUUGGAAAAACCAAUGGAUUGUGAAGAUGUUGCAUAUGAGCAUGGAGUAAAUGAAGUGGCUAUGAAAUAAAUUCCAUGCUCAUUAAUGCUUAGAGUGAAAUCCAUGUGGUAUGGUGAAAAUGAUAUGGUGAGUGUGGUAAAAAAGGAAAAUAAAAAGGAUACACGGACGACUUGCUUCGAAACUAGCACAGCUACCGCUCCCCGGCAACGGCGCCAGAAAGCUUGUUGGGUAUUUUAAACGCAAACAGAAAAAUCCGCAAGCGCACGGAUACCGAUGUAGCCUUCACCCGGGAGUAUUCCAGAGUAUCGAUUUUCCACAGAGAACGUGAGUGUACUAAUUAAGAAUCAAGAUCGCCCAAGGAUAACUAUAUAAUUAUUUUUGGUGGGAAGAGAGGAAGUUUCCUGAGAGUUCUCUAGUUGAUCUAAGAAUCAAGAAUUACUUCAAGAUUAUCUAUAUCGGGACAUCAGAACACUAACCUCAGAAAGAGAUGAGAAGGGGGCUAGGAAGCUCCGACUACGGUCCUACAAACACCGAUCCGAACGAGGUGGAAUACGUCGACCGAUAGGGCUGUCACUACCCUAGGGCUACCACAACAAUCCGCAGGAUUGGGUGCAAUUCCAGGUAAUCGCAAGACUAAACACCACGUCUAAUCUAUUAAUUACUACUCUAAUGUUUCAAAGACUAGAGCACUUGAUGCAAGCGGGAAUCCAAUAAAUAACUUGAAUGUAAAUAAAAGUAAUUAGAGAACUCGGGAGUUAUGAGUUGAAGAACCUGGAGAACGAUGAAGAACGAACCAGUUGCUGCAAAAGUACAAUGUUGAGGAAGAUCCGAUAGAUCCGGCUUGGGCCAAAGCCGAGCGGGUUCAGCGCGUGGGCCGGCUUGGGCCAAAGCCGAGCGGGCCGGCCGUAGGAGCAGUGACCUUUUCCUUUUUCUUUUAUGCAAAAUUGUGAUGUAUGUUCGAUUUUGUGUAGAAAAUUUGAUACUGAUUCAAAAAUCAUGGAAAUUUUUGUGUAGGUUCUAUGAAAUAAGUAGAACACAGGAAAAAUAUUAGAUUCUAUUUUCUAGUAGUUUCUAUGCGUAUAAAAAUUUCCUCUUUUAAUUAGCAAAUAAAACUUCUAUGAAUUUUAAUAAUUUAAUUGCAUGUCCAAAAAUCACCAAAAUUUGUGGGAUACCUCUGAAUAUUAUUCCCUGGCUUCAAACAAAAUUUGGUAGCAUUUGGAUAAUGUUUGAAUAAAAUAUUAAUAUACCCUUAAUUAAUAAUUAAAUAAUAAUUCUAGAAUAAUAAUUCUAGUUUAAAUUCUCAAAAUUAGGGUCUGAGUGAUUUUGGGAUUGUGUGAUGACCUGAGGUCAUUAACCUUAUUGACCUUUGGCAUUUAAUUAUCUUUUGGCAUUAAUGUUUAAUUACUUUCAUUAACACUUAAUUAAGAACUAAUUAAAAUAAAAAAGGUUUAAUAGUCAGUUAAUUAAGGAUAAUUAUGAAUUAAGAGAAAUCUUAAUUUCCUGAUGCAACCUCUUGGGUAAAGAACACUAAAAUGACAAACAACUUUAAUUACUGUUUAACCUAUCCUUGCACCGAGGAGAAGACUUGUACUCAACUCGGUCCUUCUUAAAUAGUUGUCAUAAGCAUAUCAUGAGCAUAUAUCAUUUUACGUGUAGUGCACGUGACCGAAGGAGCGACCGUUGAACCAAACCCCGAGGUCGGUGCUCCGUUCGAAGAAGUAGAAUCCGAGACUUGGGAAGUCUCCGAGGGUCCCUAUCAGCUCUGCAACGAAGGCAAGCCCCGGAUGCAUUAACGCCUCCUUGAAUGUUUUAAAUCUUUUAUUACUUAUGAAUUGAAAAUACUGCAUUAGGUAGUUGAGAAUUGGGUUGACCUACUUGCUGCAUUUACUACCUUGAUAUUCAUUAUCCUGUGCUUGGCACCUGUUUUAUUUUAAAAAUUGCGUAGUGAUGCUUAGCCCUGCUACUAGAUAGGUUUUCAAACAAGAAAGUUUGAAGGGUUGUUGUGGAAUACACUUAUGGUCUAUGAUGUUUCAACUUGAGACCGGUCGGUGGACUUGCUUUAAGAAUGGAGUCUUAAAGUAGUGUCUCUAAUUGUGUCGGUUAAGGACCGGUCCGUUGAUGGCCUGCUGGGUUGAGAAUUUAUAGUACUAGCCACUUGCCCUCGGUAAGCCCGGUCUUGUGAUCCCUCGAUGCGAACAGCUACUGGCGCACUGGGCGUGGAGCGAUGGCGAGAGUAGCGUAUACCCACCUUACGGAUCUGAGAUGACCGGGAAACAUCUAGAUCGGCUGUAGGAUGGUGGGGUACUGUGCUCUCGGGUGCCGCGAACCUAGUCAAAUUUGGGGAGAACUCGAUUUGGGUUGACAUAUGCAAGAUUUUGUUCUACAUAUGUCAGGUGGUUAGGAACUCCAGCUGGAUUGCUAAGCGAUUCGAAUCGUCGUUGCUCCCCGAUUGGGAGACUCAAUUCCUUCGACCCUCUUAAGGAGAGGAAUUCGUGGGUAAAACUUGAAAGUAAGGAUGCACUAUUAGUAAGCUUUUGGUAAAACAAUUUGGCUCCUUGCUUAGCCACUCCUUGUCUACCCUAAGCCUGCAUCCCUAAUUUCUCCUCUUUUUCCGCCGGGUAAGUCUUGUUGUGUACUCCCGUACUCAGGGUUUUAUAACCCCUGUUGCAGGUGAAGCUCAGGAGCCGACAUGUUUCGGACCCUGUUGUGUGUCCGUCGUCGAGGUUGACGACGAGGAAGAGUGAGCGUGACCCAUGGGCAGGGUCUGUAAAUUUGUAAUCUGUGUACUAAAGUUUAAGUUGCUCCGCUGGACCUGGCUUGUAAUAACACUCUACUAUUUGGAAGAACUCCUUUUGUAAAUUAAGUUAUGUAAUACUUCCGCUGUUUUACUCUAAAAUAUUAUUUUGGUCUUAUGUCGUCUGUAAUACUGCAAUGUCUUCGCAAUGAAUGAUCCUGGUGUUAAGGUGGCCACUUGCUAUCCUGUAAGGGAGAGGAGAAGAAGUUUUUGUUAAUUGACAAUUGCUGGUAGUUAAGACGAGCUUGUUUGAUACGCCUCAGGUAGCGGUGGAAUGAGCAUCCUGAGAAGCUCAUCGGACUUUUAGAGUGGGAGGAUCCCCGACAUCACCGUCAGAGGUCCUUAGGACAAUGACAGGUGUCGGUGGGCCCAAACACUUAGGAGGUUCUGCCACACCUAUAGUUGAUCUAGUGCAAUGCUUAUCUGUUGUUGCAUGAGCCUCAUAAUCUUUGCAUGACAAAUCAUGUUGCUGCUGUGUCGAUGAAGCCCUAAUCUAAGUAUCAGCUUGGUCCCUUGAAUCUCGUUUAUUUAACCUCCAACUCUCCCUAAUCUUAAAUUUUAUCAGUCAUGAUCUCAUGUAAUCAUUUAUCUGGUAACUAUCUUGGUUAACACAGAGAUUUUGUGGAAAUUAAAGCAAGAUCCAUGAUGAGUUGUCUUCGGCAAGUAAUAUAUGUUCUCUUGUGUUGUGUUUUGGAUCUUCACGUCACUUCCAUGUUGACUCCAAACCUUGUGACUACCUUUGCUUUGCUAUCCACCCUUUACACAAUGCUUGUUCAUACAACCAAAUUUUGUGUCACAUGAAAUUUUUCAUUGAGUGUAUGAACAAUAAUGGUGUAAUGAGCAGUAGCUAACGGUGCCGCUACGAAACGGAGGGCCUCUUGUGGGCGGCCGACACAAGGAUGUGCUGCUCGGCACGCGCUGGUAUUGAGGUUUCUAGUCAUGGUCCAUUAUGGAAUUAUACCAAUGAAAUGUUUUCUUGUGACCUUUCCUUGAUAAUCUCACCAUAUCAUAUCGAAAUUUCUCUAUGUCCAACCAGAUGUUAUAGGACAUUCUUCUGAAGUCAACUAGAGGUUAACCUUUGAAGAACAAGUCACUGACAUAAAAAUUAAGAGACUGCAAGAGAUGGUAGACAAGUCACAAUAUUUCACUAUCCCUACAAUGACGAUGAGCAUUAAGUGAACACCAUGAGUCAUCCUCAUCGAACCAAAAGGACACCCAACACUUAAUGUUGGACAAGUUAUCUGUUAAACAAGCAUCGAUCAUCACCAUUGUGCUUAUGACCAAGUUUUCCUAAGUCUUUAUCUUUAUGUGCAUCAUGGUGACAGCUAAAGUCAACCAAGAGGCAUGAAUCCUUAUCUCCUAGCUUUGGAGGUUACCAAUUGUUGAGGAUCAGCCGGAAUUGUUGUGGUUAAGUGUGAAGCUUUGGAAAAUAUUGUGCUGAGAGGCAAUUGAAUGGUUGCUAGUAGCAAGGCUAAUCUCAAGGAAAGUAAUGAUGGAGUGACAGCCAUGAGAGAUAUGUUUUAUCAAUUAGUGAAUUAAACAUGGAGUUGAGAAAUGUCUUGUCAGUCCAAAACACUGCCAUUGCUGCACCGAACAAGUUUAGUAUGUACACGUUCUACUUAUGCAAAUGUUGCCUAUUUGAGCUGAAUUUUGGUCAGAGGUUAGAAGACUCAUGGAUCAGAAUUUUUAUCAAGUUUCAUGCAGAAUUGAGUGGUAAUUGGUUGUAUACUUGCAACUAUUGGAGACCUCUGGGUCUCACAAUCAUCCUUCUUCAGUAGUGGUUAUCCAAUCCCAACAUGCCUUGGGUACCUUCUGUGUGUUACCUAAGAAGUUGCACCUGAUUCCACCCAAAUAACUUUUGUUGUUUGCAUACGAGGAUCCCCUUGAAGUAAAUGAUCAUGGAAGGUGUUGAACCCACAAAGUCAGCUAUCACAUUCACCAUUCUCUUAACCAGGUUGGUAAGUACAAUUUUAUCAUCAGAGAAAGAGAAAUGCAUGCUUGGAAAGUUGUACUCCAAGCAUUUUGGUAGAAGACUACUUUCCAAACGUUGUGAAUGAGCCUGGAACCACUAUAAUGAGAAACCCAUAGAAGCUUGUGACUUGGUGCAAGGUUCUUAUGGUUUGUAUUAGUUUCACUAAAUAUAUUGAUGAUAUAGGUAGCUCCUUAUGCUCUGAACCACCCUUCAUACAUUGAGAACAAAGUGCACAGGACAGUGCUUUCUUGGAUUCCUCCCAAAAGUAACAAUGCUUCAUCUUCAGACCAAAGUUUACUAUGAAAAGUAAGUAUCAGAAAACUUUUAGUCCAACUUAGCUUCUCUGAUGUUUGAAUGCUAUCGUUGAGGUUGGGAAAUGCAUGACAUUGUUUCUCUUCCCUUGAAAGUCUUUCUCACCGAAUCUCGGGACGAGAUUCUUUUUAAGGGGGGAGGGCUGUAACACCCCAGGUGUUUGUCUUGCGUUUUGGCACUUACAUUUCAUGAGCAUAAGCAUCAUUUGUUCAUAUAUGAGCACAUGAGCAUAAGCUUGUGGCUGUUGAUGGUGCUUCUUUCAUGUGUAUCAUCUCCAUCUCUACCUAGGUUGAUCACUCAAAAAGUUUCAUGAAGUUUGGAUUCAAAAGGUCAAAUGAAAGGAUAAGUUACAUGCUUGUUGGAAUGACCUCAUUAAGUGAAUAGAACCAUAGGUCAUCAAACAAUCCUUGCAACCUUGCCCAAAUGACUCUAGAUGAAUGCUACAACAAAAGUCAUGAAGGGUACAUGUUGAGCUUGUGCCUAGAAAAUGCUUCAAUUGGCCUAAAACCUUAAUUCAAGCUUUAUCAAGUUGCUACUUUCACCAAAGUGAAAGUUUGACUUUUGUGCUAGUUCUGAGGUAUGACCUUAAAUAAAAGUUGUAGUUUUGCUUCUGUAAAACAAACUUUAUUUAAUGGUCAAGAGCUAGUUUGGUACCUAUCCUAGUCAAAUUAAGCUCACAAAAUUCAACACAGUGCUGUUUUGGAACUCCGGAAUUUUGGCUAAGUCCUCAAGGUGUUCAGUUUUGGGAAUCCAUGUUGGGAGCUUUGUAUCUUCCAGCCCAAGCUGAAUAAGUACAAGGUCCUUUAGUAAAAGUUGUAGCAUAGUUUGUAUACUAGAAACAUUGUUAAAGUGCCCAAGUCCGAAUCCUCCUCUAAGCAUGUCAAAUAAUGGUCACAAAUUUGAAUCUGUUAUAGUUUCCAGCACUUAGAAUUUCUAAGUCUGGGAUUGCAGUUCAUCGUGUUGGCAUUCCGCGUUCUCCAAAUAUUGUUAAACAACUUGAGUUGAUCCCUUAAUAAAAGUUGGAGUAUAUAUUGUGGACAAGAGUAUAAAAAAACAUGGCACCAGUUUGACUUCGUUUUGGUCAUCAAUUUUGAGUUUUGCUAAUCACUAUCAAUUCAUUGACACUUCAGGGUUGGCAUCAUGUUAUCUCUUAAUGUGUUGCUCUAAUGACUUUGCACUCUGAAUGAAACUUGGAGAGCAGGCCGAGUACAACAAACUUCAUUUUGGACCCAAGGUCUAGUUCGGCAUGCAAAGAGCCCAAAAUCAUGUUCCACUCUAUCCAAACCGUCACUCGACACGUGUUCGACAGAAUGCCUCAAAGGCCGGCACGUGGCCAGUGCGUGGGGACCAUGCAGCAGGGCGCCCUCACCAUGGCUGCCACCUCCACCUUGCCUUGUCCUCUCUCUGUACCCUUGUGGACGAGCACCAGAGAGCCCUCCCUAUCCUCCUCCACCCCCGAGCACUUGCCCACGGUCUCCUCCACCUCUUUUGCCCUUUCACUCUCUAUCUCCCUGUCCACUCUUUCUGUUCCCGUCGCCAUGGCUGGCAGAGGGGAGCUCGAGCUGCUGCUGCACUGCUGCUGCUCGUGGCCGUGCGGAUGCAGCGGCCUAGCAUGGCCAAGACUUGGUAUGGCCAAGCCCUAGGGCGUCCUCCCUUGACCAGGCCAGAGCACGACCUCCCUUCCCUUGCCUCCUGUUCGGUAAGGAAGGAGAAUGAAGAAGGGAUCUCGGGUUAGAAUAAGAAACAACUCAGGGUUCCAGAUGCGAAGCUAAGACUCAUAUGAAUAGUGUUACUAGGCUGUGGCGUGAUUUUUGGAAAAGCUAGGGUUCCCGGUGCAAGAUCUGUUUUCUUUUUCUUUUGUUUUUCAGAUUUCAUGGAUAAAAUUUGGAAAUACAUAGAAAUUCGUAGAAAAGUCGUAAAAUAGCAAAUGCGGACUUUUUGAAAUCCUUAUGAAAUUGUCUAUGCAGUAGAUAUAUAUUAUUGUAUGUUUUAGUUUGAAGUUUUAACUGUAAAAAUAGAUUUGUGCAGUUCGGUUUUAAUUGCUUGUUAUAUUUGUCUUUUUCAUAACUGCUGUGUUAUUGACGAAAUAAAUGUGAAAAUAUUGUGAUAAGCUUUCCAUAUGAUAUUUGAUGUCUGGUAAAUGUUUCAUGAAUUUAGGCAUGACAUAUUAGGAGUUAUAAAAAUAACAAAUGCUCUGUGUUGCUCUGCUCCUAUUCUGAGUGGAUCUGCAUGUUUAUAUUGUUUGGCUCAGUUAGGUUGUGAAUCAUGCCUGGAUGAAAAUAUAUGAGUUGUAGUAAUUUUCAUAAGCUUUCCAAAAAGAUAAAUAGCGCAAUUUUUGGUUAAGCACAUGUUUAGUUAUAGUGGUUUAAAGUACUGUUCCAGUUUCUGUCUAAACCCAGACUGGAUUGCAUUGUUUGUAAUGUAAGACGUUGUUAGUGGUAGAUUUAGCUCUAGAUGUUUAUAACAAAGUUGUUCAAAAUUUAGUAAGCUUUCUAUAAAGUACAUAACCAUAAUUUAUGGGCUUAUGACACUCAAGGUAUGGCUGUUUAAUGUGGCAUGAUAGGUUCCAUCCAUGUUUUGGACAGAGAUGUCUUUAUGGGGCUUGAUAAAUGUUUUAUAAUUAUAAAUAAAAUCUAAAAAUGGAAAAUGUUGUUCCAGUACAAUUCUAUGAUAUUGUUGUAUCAUGUUGAUAUAUAUUAUGGUCAUGUGUUUGAAGAAAAUGUGAGUUUUAGAUUUAUCUUGCUCUCACAUGGUUAAUUGUAAUAGCAAUUUGUCUUUUUCAUAGAGACUGCUAUGUUUGUUAAAAUACAAUGAAAUUUGUAUAAUAGUCUAUUUAUAGUAUGUAGAGGCUACUGUAAUUUUGGUGGAAUUUACUGUGUAAUUUUGGUAUAUGUUCUUUAAUUCACCUUAUUAUCCAAAUAAAUUAAGAAAUGCAUUAAAUAAAUUUAUUUGGUAGUGACCACUAUGUUUUCUGGUGUUCUUUAGAUAUGUGCAAACUGUUGGUAACAAUGGUUUUGCUCAAAGGCAUGUUUGAAACAUAAGUUAAAAAUUAAUUGUUUGCAAUUGUUGUUUCUGGACAGUUUGUGGAACUGUUGGGAUUACAAUAUGUAAAUGAUGUUUUCUGGGAAUCUUGUUUAAAGCAAAGUUGUAGACAAUUCACCUAUCUAGCUUCUGUUAAAAUUUGGUAGUAUUUGGCCUUGUGGUUUGUGAGUUAUGUCUGUUCAAAGUUGGACUCCAGAAAUGGCUGCUCUCUGUUUGUCAGGGACAGAUUCUGGAAAUUUAUAAUUUCGACCAGCUUAAGUUGCGAAUCAUGCUUUGAUGACUAAAUAUGAAAUGCAGAUAAUUUAUUAAGCUUUCCAUAAUGUCUCAAUUCAUGUCUUUUGGGGUUGUGUAACUCCAGUUAUGAUUUAUUUACUCAGCUGCUGUUAACAGUCACAAAAAUGGAAGAUCUUUUUAUUGCUGUUGCUUGGUAUAUUGCUAUGUAUGACUCAUGUCUUUGAUAAUGGCCAAGUAAUUACACCUGAGAUCUUGUGAAACAUGUAUGCCAUGCCCGAUAUACUUGGUUGCAUUCUUUGUUGUCUUAGCAUGUUGGUUGUGUAAUCAUUAAGUUGAGCAGUGAGAUGUGCUUAAGUAUGUUUAGUGUAACCAUGCUCUUGUCAUGCUUCUUGUGUGUGAUGCUUUGUCUAUUGCACUGCUAUAUGUUCAUGCACUUGCAUCUUGCAUCUCAUUUAGGUACGCUAGAAGAACCACGUGAAGGACGUGAUGGUGGACCUAUCAGGAUGAUGGAAGGACUACACAAGUGUUGUCAUCUUAGAUGUCACCAAGACGGAGCAAGCUAACUAAUUUGACUCGGUGUCACAUUCCAGGCAAGCCCCGGAGCAUUAUAAGCCUCCUACUUUUUGAAAGUGAAUGAGUAUAUAUAUGUUACAUAUGUAUUGUUGCAUUAAGUAUAGGAGUUGGAUGAAACCCUUGCUGCAUAUAUAUACCCUUCCCUGUCCAGUAUAUAUAUAACCUGAAUCCUAAUUAGUCAGGAUCACGUCUAUGCUUAGCGAUGCUUAGCUCGGUAGAAGCCAGGUGAUUUCCUGUCACCUGCGGGAUAUAGGUGGAUUCCGGAUCACGGUUGGCUAUAUUUGCUAUCGUGGAAAAGAACCAUGUGUUAAUAAUAUGAAAGGAGACCGGGUGGGAUGAUGAUAGUGACGCAACAAGGCAUGGAGGUCUUGGGUGUGGAUCUAUCCCCGUCUGUGUCGAUUAAGGACCGAUCGUUGUACGUCCUCGUGUCAUGUUAGUUGGCCGGAUAAGUCGCUCCGACUGCGAAGCCUAGUAGUAUGACUCAGGCCGGAAGACCGACAAGUAUAAAGUGCGCACUACCGGAGGAAGUGCGGUGUGCGGGGGCCAUUGGCGUAAGACCAAAGGCAGGUGAGUUAAAAGUCCUGACCUCCCUGGCAGAGUGGCAGCCCUGGGAGUGCGGCGCUGAUCGGAGCCGCGAUUCCUGAGUCGUACCAGAGGUGACCCACUUGCUCUCUGACGGGGGAAGCAUGGGUGAGUGUUAGGAAUAACCCUCCAGCUGGAUAGGAAUCGAUUCGAAUCGCCGUCUCUCCCGGAUAGUGAGAACUUGACAGAGCAGCGGCAAACAUAGCAUUCACUAAUAACUUAAUGGUUCUAUGAUGAUGAUGAUGAUCACAGCCUUGAUAAACCUGAUAUGGUUAUUAUUGAUUGAUAUUAAUCAAGUGAUUGCUAUAGUACAGGUGCUAAUCUAGUUGAUAGGUUAAUGAGAAUUAAAUGGAUGCUAAAUAAGAAAGGUUUGACUAUUUAUACUUAAACUUUUUAUGCAAAAUGUUGUCCAACAAGCUCCACUUAUAUAUCAUCCUUGCAUACUCCUUGGUGUCAUUUAUUUCUGGUUUAUGACGGGUAAGUCUAGCUGAGUACAUUCUCAUACUCAGGGUUUAUUUCCACUUGUUGUAGGUUGUGAUGUAUCAUAGCUACUGCAAGAUUUGGAUGACUCCUGCUAUAGGGAAGGAGUAAGAUCAUGGGCAUGAUCCUUCCUACUUACCUCAUCUAUGAUGCUUUUGUUGGAAUGGACCAUGGUACUGUCAUGUAUUUGAAAUAAAUGUGAUAUUGGUUUCAAAU